rnacentral:lncRNA from 1 species
AUGAGGGAAACUUUGCUCCCCCACUGCUGGGCAUCUUAUCUGCAUUGGGGCUUCUCUCCUCCUGCUCCCCGCCCCCGGUCCUCAAGGCUUCCCCAGAGCCACUUCAGAACUCGUGGCUCUGAAAGAAGGAGCCUGCAAGCCUCCUCCCUUGAAUUUGGGAGGGCAAGCAGAGGUCUGUCUCUGCCUCCCCAUGCUGGACAGCUGACUGACCCUGGCGACCCCCUGUGGUCCCCGUCUCACCCUCACCCCUCAUCCCUGGGCACUGGAGAGCCAGCAGUAGCCAGAUUCGCCUUUGCACACCCAGACAGCAACAAUCACCACCCUACAAUCCAGGACAGGCUCCUCCACGCCGGCGCUGCUUCCACUUCCGAAAGUCACUCCCUAUCCCCACCCCUGCCCCACGACAGACGGACAAACCCACAGCGAGACAGACUGCCCGAUGGACAGACAGACAGACAGAUAGACAGGCCGACCGGCUGGCCUGCCGGCCCCACGGGCCGGCAGUCCUUCUUGCCCUGUCCCAGGCCCCCGCCCCUUGGCCCGCAGACCCCACCCUCUGGCCGGGGCUCUCCUGCCAGGGCCCCGGCUAGAGGCGAUCCGAGGGCUCCCGGCUCUGCGCGGAGAUGCUGGCAAAGGGGCGGCGGGCAGCCCUACCUUUUUGUCUUCUUUCUCACUGUUUGGUCUCUUCUCUGGGUGGCUGUCCCCGGCGGCCGCACUUUCCCCAGGCUGCUCAUCCUGCGGCGGCGGCGGUGGCGGCGGCGGCGGCGGUGGCGGCGGCGGUGGCUGCUGACAGCCUCCGCCAGCCCCCUGAGAGUGGGGGAUGGGCUCCGGGCACUGAGAAACUCCCUUAACAUCCAUCUCCAUCUUCUGAUUCACUGUAGGGCGAGACAAAAGCGGGGCAAGGACUUGGCAGUCAGCGGCGCACGGCAGCCUUCUUCACGGGCCCGCGGCACACAUGGCUGGGAGAGCCGGCACGGGCGCAAUCGCUCUGGCUCUGGCUCCAGCUCCGGCUCCGGCUCCAGCUCCGGCUCGGGCUCCAGCUCCGGCUCGGGCUCCGGCUCCGGCUCUCCCCCGCCCCGGGCUCUCCGCCGCCCGCCCCCCUCCCUCCCUCCCUCCUUCCCUCCCUCUCUCUCCCUCCCUCCCUCUCUCUCUCUCUCUCUCUCUCUCUCUCUCUCUCUCUCUCUCUCUCUCUCUCUCUCUCUCUCUCUCUCUCUCUCUCUCUCUCUCUCUCUCUCUCUCUCUCUCCUCUUCUUUUUCUCCCUCUCUCUCUCUUCCCCCCCUCUUCUUCUUCUCCCUCUCUCUCUCUUCCUUUCUCUCUCUCUCUCUCCCUCCUCGCCCCUAGAACAUCCAGACUUUUGUAUCCAUUGA